AGCGACGUAGGGAAAGCGGCAAUU
rnacentral:siRNA from 1 species